rnacentral:lncRNA from 1 species
UUAUCAUUUAAAAGCCAUUAGCAUAUAUCAGUAGCUUACUUAUAAAAGUGAGAAUUUGUAUGCAAAAGAUAUCUUUACUCAGCCGUGUGUGGUAUUUUCUAGAGUAAAAUGAAGAUUCUGUUGGUUGUAGUGAUUAUUUCCUUAUGGAUUGGAGAUCUAGUUCAAAUGCAAGAGUCCUGUGCAAACGUAACAUGUUCAGGUUCUCAUGAAGUUUGCAGAGGUUCUAACUCAUGCAUCAACCAGUGUAGCAGUGAAGUUUGCCCACAGUAUAUUAUAUCUGGCUGUUUCUGUGAGUCUGGUUAUUGCAGCGAUGAUAACGGAGAUUGUAUUCUUAAAAGUUAAAAAAAUAAUUGACUGUAAUUCCAUGUGCAUUUAAAUAUAAAAUAUUUGAACCUGUGAA